UGUGCCUUUUAUGUAAAUAGCCUAAUUAUGUUUCAACAGAACUAACACUUGAGGUCAAAUUCUUUCAUAUGUGUAAAAUAAAAAUUCUAUUCCAAAGUAGCAAAGGCUGGGCAUGGUGGCUCAUGCCUGUAAUCCCAGUACUUUGGGAGAACAAGGAAGGCAGAUCACUUGAGGUCAGGAGUUAGAGACCAGCCUGGCCAACAAGGUGAAACCCCGUCUCUACUAAAAAUACAAAAAAAUUAGCCGGGCCUGGUGUCACACACCUGUAAUCCCAGCUACUAGGAGGCUGAGGCAGGAGAAUCGCUUGAACCUGGGAGGUAGGGUUUGCAAUGAGCUGAGAUCACGCCACUGCACUCCAGCCUGGGUGACAGAGCGAGACUCCAUCUCAAAAACAAACAAACAAAAAAACUUAUUAAAGUAAGCCUAAUACUUCUUAAAGGAAUUAAAAAUAUGAAUUAUAAAUCAUAUUGUUAUGAUCUAAAGUAUCAAUGUUGUCAAUCCUUAAAAGUAUGGACUUUUGGCUGGGUGUGGUGGUUCACACCUGUAAUCCCAGCACUUUGGGAGGCUAAGGCGGGUGGAUCACCAGAGGUCGGCAGUUCAAGACCAGCCUGGCCAACACAGUGAAACCCCAUCUCUACUAAAAAUACAAAAAAAAAUUAGCCAGGUGUGGUGGCAGGUGCCUGUAAUCCCAGCUACUUGGGAGGCUGAGGCAGGAGAAUUGCUUGAACCCAGGAGGCAGAGGCUGCAGUGCACCAAGAUCGCGCCAUUGCAUUCCAGCCUGGGUGACAGAGAGAGACUCUGUCUCAAAACAAACAAAAAAAAAGUACGGACUUUCAGGAUUGACAACAAUAAGGAUGUAUUAUUGAAAUGUAAAAAUAAAUUUAAAACUUCAGGCCGGGGGUAGUGGCUCAAGCCUGUAAUCCCAGCACUAUGGGAGGCUGAGGCGGGCAGAUCACCUGAGGCUGGGAGUUCGAGACCAGCCUGGCUAACAUGGUGAAACCUCGUUUCCACUAAAAAUACAAAAUUAGCUGGACAUGGAGGUGCAUGCCUAUAAUCCCAGCUACUCAGGAGGCUGAGGCAGGAGAAUCGCUUGAACCCAGGAGACGGAAGUUGCAGUGAGCCAAGAUCAUGCCAUUGCACUCCAGCCUGGGCAAUGGAGUAAGACUCCGCCUCCAAAAACAAACAAAUAAACAAACAAAACCCUUCAUUUUACUCAUUUGAUUUCAACUUAUCACCCUUCCCAGUAAGUACAGAAUAGUAAAACAGCAGCCCAAUUAAUAGGCUGUCACCUUCUCUGGUUUAUACAGUCUGCCCUCUGGUGGAAGUGCUAAUUAACAGUGAAAUGGCCAAAUAG
rnacentral:lncRNA from 10 species